GCCUAAUACAUGCAAGUCGAACGAUAGAUAGAAGCUUGCUUUUAUCGAAAGUGGCGCACGGGUGCGUAACGCGUAUGCAACCUACCUUGAUCAGGGGGAUAGCCUCUCGAAAGAGAGAUUAACACCGCAUAACAUUAUUGAGUGGCAUCAUUUAAUAAUCAAAUAUUUAUAGGAUCGAGAUGGGCAUGCGUGACAUUAGCUAGUUGGCGGGGUAACGGCCCACCAAGGCUACGAUGUCUAGGGGAUCUGAGAGGAUGACCCCCCACACUGGUACUGAGACACGGACCAAACUCCUACGGGAGGCAGCAGUAAGGAAUAUUGGUCAAUGGGGGCAACCCUGAACCAGCCAUGCCGCGUGCAGGAAGACGGCCCUACGGGUUGUAAACUGCUUUUAUACGGGAAUAAACCUUGCUACGUGUAGUGAGUUGAAUGUACUGUAGGAAUAAGGAUCGGCUAACUCCGUGCCAGCAGCCGCGGUAAUACGGAGGAUCCAAGCGUUAUCCGGAUUUAUUGGGUUUAAAGGGUGCGUAGGCGGCCUAUUAAGUCAGGGGUGAAAGACGGUGGCUCAACCAUCGC
rnacentral:rRNA from 1 species